rnacentral:rRNA from 1 species
UACGAAGGGGGCUAGCGUUGCUCGGAAUGACUGGGCGUAAAGGGCGCGUAGGCGGCUUGCACAGUCAGGCGUGAAAUUCCUGGGCUCAACCUGGGGACUGCGCUUGAGACGUGCGGGCUUGAGUGGGGAAGAGGGUCGUGGAAUUCCCAGUGUAGAGGUGAAAUUCGUAGAUAUUGGGAAGAACACCGGUGGCGAAGGCGGCGACCUGGUCCUUGACUGACGCUGAGGCGCGAAAGCGUGGGGAGCAAACAGG